rnacentral:rRNA from 1 species
GAUGAACGCUGGCGGCGUGCUUAACACAUGCAAGUCGAACGGUGAAGCAGGAGCUUGCUCUUGUGGGUCAGUGGCGAACGGGUGAGUAACACGUGAGCAACCUGCCCCUGACUCUGGGAUAAGCGCUGGAAACGGCGUCUAAUACUGGAUAUGUGAUGUGACCGCAUGGUCUGCAUCUGGAAAGAAUUUCGGUUGGGGAUGGGCUCGCGGGCUAGCCGCUUGUUGGUGAGGUAAUGGCUCACCAAGGCGUCGACGGGUAGCCGGCCUGCGAGGUUGACCGGCCAGACUGGGGCUGGGGCACGGCGUAGACUCCGACGGGAGGCAGCAGUGGGGAAUAUUGCACAAUGGGCGGAAGCCUGGUGCAGCAACGCCGCGUGAGGGAUGACGGCCUUCGGGUUGUAAACCUCUUUUAGCGGGGAAGAAGCGAAAGUGACGGGACCUGCAGAAAAAGCACCGGCUAACUACGUGCCAGCCGCCGCAGUAA